ACCCCUACGGGGGGCAGCAGUGGGGAAUAUUGCACAAUGGGGGAAACCCUGAUGCAGCCAUGCCGCGUGCGUGAAGAAGGCCUUCGGGUUGUAAAGCACUUUCAGUCAGGAGGAAAGGUUAGUAGUUAAUACCUGCUAGCUGUGACGUUACUGACAGAAGAAGCACCGGCUAACUCCGUGCCAGCAGCCGCGGUAA
rnacentral:rRNA from 1 species